rnacentral:tRNA from 1 species
GUAGUGUAAAGGUAAGCACGUCAGGUCGGAUAUCUGUAAGUGCGGGUUCGAGUCCCGCC